AUUGAACGCUGGCGGCAUGCCUUACACAUGCAAGUCGAACGGCAGCGGACCUUCGGGUGCCGGCGAGUGGCGAACGGGUGAGUAAAGUAUCGGAACGUACCUUUCAGUAGGGGAUAACGUAGCGAAAGUUACGCUAAUACCGCAUAUUCUGUGAGCAGGAAAGCAGGGGAUCGCAAGACCUUGCGCUGAUUGAGCGGCCGAUAUCAGAUUAGCUAGUUGGUGAGGUAAAGGCUCACCAAGGCGACGAUCUGUAGCGGGUCUGAGAGAAUGAGCCGCAACACUGGAACUGAGACACGGUCCAGAAUCCUACGGGAGGCAGCAGUGGGGAAUUUUGGACAAUGGGGGCAACCCUGAUCCAGCCAUGCCGCGUGAGUGAAGAAGGCCUUCGGGUUGUAAAGCUCUUUCGGCCGGGAAGAAAUCGCGCAGGUUAAUACCCUGUGUGGAUGACGGUACCGGAAUAAGAAGCACCGGCUAACUACGUGCCAGCCGCCGCCGUAAGAC
rnacentral:rRNA from 1 species